GCUGGUGUGGUGGAAUUGGCAGACACGCGGGACUCAAAAUCCCGUGCGGCUUACCCCGCGUGUGGGUUCGACCCCCACCACCAGCA
rnacentral:tRNA from 2 species